rnacentral:rRNA from 1 species
AGUCGAACGGCAGCGCGGGCUUCGGCCUGGCGGCGAGUGGCGAACGGGUGAGUAAUGCAUCGGAACGUGCCCUGGAGUGGGGGAUAACUAGUCGAAAGAUUAGCUAAUACCGCAUACGAUCUACGGAUGAAAGUGGGGGAUCGCAAGACCUCAUGCUCCUGGAGCGGCCGAUGUCUGAUUAGCUAGUUGGUGGGGUAAAAGCCUACCAAGGCGACGAUCCGUAGCUGGUCUGAGAGGAUGAUCAGCCACACUGGGACUGAGACACGGCCCAGACUCCUACGGGAGGCAGCAGUGGGGAAUAUUGGACAAUGGGCGCAAGCCUGAUCCAGCAAUGCCGUGUGUGUGAAGAAGGCCUUCGGGUUGUAAAGCACUUUUAGUUGGGAAGAAAAGCUUGUGGUUAAUAACCAUGAGUGCUGACGUUACCAACAGAAAAAGCACUGGCUAACUCUGUGCCAGCAGCCGCGGUAAUACAGAGAGUGCAAGCGUUAAUCGGAAUUACUGGGCGUAAAGCGCACGUAGGUGGAUGUUUAAGUCGGAUGUGAAAGCCCUGGGCUUAACCUAGGAAUUGCAUUCGAUACUGGGCGUCUAGAGUAUAGUAGAGGGAAGUGGAAUUUCCGGUGUAGCGGUGAAAUGCGUAGAUAUCGGAAAGAACACCAGUGGCGAAAGCGGCUUCCUGG